UAAUAAGUUUUAGAAUUGUCUGUGCGAACAAUAAUUCAAAUUCUAAGUUUGAAAUAAAUAACACUCCAAUAAGCAAGUAACUGGUUGCGUUGCGUUCAAAGAAUGCAUUCAACUGCAAUUCAAGUCCCUUAUGUUGUCUGAAGCUGAACUUGCCCAUUGCAUAUUUAUUUCACAGCUGUCAACGUCAAAUUGAUUGCCAUUGGAUGAGUUUAAAUUUCUCCGGCAUAUUUGCAUAUUUUUUGCAGUCAGUUGGGGACCACUCUAAAUAUAAAUAUUGCACUCCGAAUUUGCGUGUAAAAAAUGCAAUUUAUAAUAUUCAACGACCUUAAAACCCUGUUUUACUAGUUGAGAAUGACCGAAAACCUAUUAGUUGAAAUUAAAAAGAAAGGAAGACCACUGAAGCAAUAUUCAAAAAUAUCUAAUUUUGACACCCAUCGCUGUGCAGUUGUAAAUCCUAAACGAGGUCGAGGACGUCCGCGAAAGCUGAAAGUCAAGAGAAAACCACCUCCAGUGCCUGGAAGACGUCGUGGUCGUCCUUCAAAGAAAGAAUCGUUAGCAAGAAUAACUUUAAACAACCAGAAUUAUGAAGAAAAAGAAAACAACGUAGGAGCAAACUUUGUUUUAAUAUUAUAACCGAACAAUUUAAAUGAAACUAAAAUGAUGCAUGGAAUUAUAACGAUGAACAAGAAUUUUAUAUCUUAAACUUUCUAUACUAUCCUAUUAUAGCCUUUUUAAUGUUGAAUAUGUUUUAAUUUGUCUAUUAUGUUACCUAAAUUUGUUUUUUUUCUUAUGUUGAAUAAUAACCAUAUUAAUUAUAAAAACUU